GCUGGGCACAGUGGCGCACGCCUGUAAUCCCAGCAUCUUGGGAGGUGGAGGCAGGAGGAUCACAAGUUCAAAGCCAGCCCCAGCAAAACUGAGAUGCUAAACAACUCAGUGAGACCCUGUCUCUA
rnacentral:sRNA from 1 species